CGGCUGUCUGGGCUUGAAGAGCCCUCUGUGUAGGGGCUGAAGUGUGCAGGCAGGGACAGCACUCCUAGAGAGACAAGAACAGCAGCAGAAAAUCUAAAUUCACCAACCAUAGAAAAUGGACAGCUGGGUCUGGUAUCGUUGUUUGAAUAAAAGACUGUUCUACUGUACAGUAGAUGGGAGACUCUCUGUAGAAACACUUGUUCUCUGUUUCCAUGUGGGUCAGUCUGGUGAAGUCAUUGGGAUACACAAAUGACAGUCUGUGAGGCUUUAAUGCAGUGUGUAGCUACAGUGAGUGUCCUAGAUUCAAUGUCCAUCACCUCAGACUGCAAUACAAAUUCA